GAAUCGAGCAAAGGGCACGUGACCGAUGUGUUUGUAAACAAAACACACGACCUUGCUAAAGGGAGACAAUACGAGAUGAGCUGGGUGAACUGGAUUCCAGUCCCGAAGAAAGGUCGACUUCCCAUCGGUGGUUUGACAGUGUCAUCUAUAUUAGUGGGAAUGAUGAUCGGUUCUAUGGCCACGUUCAUACUCGACUACGGUUAUUAUUUCAAGAAGGAGGAGUUUGAGAAAAUGAAAUUCGAAACCGGCUUGAAAGAUGAAUAAUGAGUCGCUAAUUGGAUUUGUUUAAGGUUUCCGCCUGCACGCAUGUAUACACCGCUCGUAUACUGCAUGAUUAUUAUCUGAAGAAAUUUGCACAGAGUGAAGAUUGGAAGUGUUUUUUUUAAAUUGUUUAUUACUUUUGGAUUGUAAAUAGCCGGUUUUGUAUGUUUUAGUAGUAUUAUAUUGAUCUUUGUUCUGACAACACAUAGUGUCAUACAUGUGUGAAAUACAAUACUUUUUGA